rnacentral:rRNA from 1 species
ACGUAGGUGGCAAGCGUUGUCCGGAAUUAUUGGGCGUAAAGGGCGCGCAGGUGGCGUCGUAAGUCGGUCUUAAAAGUGCGGGGCUUAACCCCGUGAGGGGACCGAAACUGCGAUGCUAGAGUAUCGGAGAGGAAAGCGGAAUUCCUAGUGUAGCGGUGAAAUGCGUAGAUAUUAGGAGGAACACCAGUGGCGAAAGCGGCUUUCUGGACGACAACUGACGCUGAGGCGCGAAAGCCAGGGGAGCAAACGG